rnacentral:misc_RNA from 1 species
GUCGCAACUCUCUCCUUCCUUCUCUUUGCCACUUACGGGAGGUCACACCCCCUAGGCCAGUAGCCGCCGGCCUCAACCAUCGUCCUUCCCCUCUCUCUCUCUCUCUCAUCUCCUCUUCCUUAUUCCGGAAAAGCCAGCUAAGGUAGCAGCUGUGUCCAGCCCAUUUGUCAGCAGCAGCGAGCUCCGACAGAGUUUUUUAAAGUUUCAAGCUGGUCAAAAGAAGGAACUUUAACAGAUCCAUCAGGUUUGGAAGCGAGAAUGAAGUUAGAAGGCAAGCUUGGAAAAGACUCUCUCAAUACUAAGUAUGUCCUUAUAUAUUUGAGGACAUAGUCUAUGUUUCCUAGUUUAUUUAAGACUUAUUAUCUAUUUCUUUUAAUGUAAAGGGCCUUUUCCUAAGAUAUUAUGUCGUGUCUUUAAGUUUGGCUUGUGAAAAUGAGAC